AUUGAACGCUGGCGGCAUGCCUAACACAUGCAAGUCGAACGGGGCAGCAAUGCCUAGUGGCGGACGGGUGAGGAAUACGUAGGAAUCUGCCCUUAAGUGGGGGAUAACCAGGGGAAACCCUGACUAAUACCGCAUGAUCUCUUCGGAGCAAAGAGGGGGACCGCAAGGCCUCUCGCCUCUGGAUGAGCCUACGUCUGAUUAGCUAGUUGGGAGGGUAAAGGCCUACCAAGGCGACGAUCAGUAACUGGUCUGAGAGGAUGAUCAGUCACACCGGAACUGAGACACGGUCCGGACUCCUACGGGAGGCAGCAGUGGGGAAUAUUGGACAAUGGGCGCAAGCCUGAUCCAGCAAUGCCGCGUGUGUGGAGAAGGCCUUCGGGUUGUAAAGCACUUUAGCCUGGAAAGAAAAAACUUUGGUUAACACCCAAAGUCUUGACGGUACCAGGAGAAUAAGCACCGGCUAACUCUGUGCCAGCCGCCGCAGUAACAC
rnacentral:rRNA from 1 species